GAGACCUGUACUUACAAUUGCUAGCGACUCAUCUGAGGAUCGAGCACAUUGUAAGAACUGCCUUGGAAACAAGGAGGAAGGUGCAGGCAACGGUAGGUCUGUAUGCUCCGAAUCUUCUGGGCAACACGCGCGCAACAAUGGUAGAGACAAUGGGUCACAACUCCGAAAGGAGAAGUUAAUCCUCGAAACUCUAUCUUAGUACAGAUUGAGGGCUGUAACUCGCCCUCAUGACGCUGGAAUCCCUAGUGAUCGGGUGUCAUCAUCGCCCGGUGAAUAU
rnacentral:rRNA from 1 species